CUCUUCCACAGGAGGCCUACACGCCGCCGCUUGUGCUGCAGCCAUGCUCUAGUGAUCCCUGAAAAGUUCCAGCAUAUUUUGCGAGUACUCAACACCAACAUCGAUGGGCGGCGGAAAAUAGCCUUUGCCAUCACUGCCAUUAAGGUGUGGGCCGAAGAUAUGCUCAUGUGGUGUUGAGGAAAGCAGACAUUGACCUCACCAAGAGGGCGGGAGAACUCACUGAGGAUGAGUGGAACGUGUGAUCACCAUUAUGCAGAAUCCACGCCAGUACAAGAUCCCAGACU
rnacentral:lncRNA from 1 species